ensembl:lncRNA
GCGAAAAUCACGCGUUUUCUCUCCGAGAAUCCAACAUUUAAGCGAAAAUCACGCGUUUAUCUCAAAUCCCACAUUUAAGCGAAAGUCACGCGUUUUCUCUUCGCAAAUCCCUCAAUUAACACAAAAAACCACGAGUUUUCUCUUCAGCAAAUCCGCCAUUUAAGCAAAAAUCACGCGUUUUCUCUUCAGGAAUCUUCCAUUUAACCCGAAAAUCACGUGUUUUCUCUUUGCAAAUCCCCCAUUUAACUUGAAAAUCAUGCAUUUUCAAUUUGCAAAUCCCCCAUUUAUGCGAAAGUCACGCGUUUUCUCUUCGCAAAUCCCCCAUUUAUGUGGAAAACACGUGUUUUCUCUUCGAAAAUCCCCCAUUUAACCCGAUAAUCGCACAUUUUCAAUUUGCAAGUCCCCCAUUUAAGCGAAAAACACGCGUUUUCUCUUCGCAAAUCCCCCAUUUAACCAGAAAAUCACGCGUUUUCUUUUCGGAAAUCCCCCAUUUAAGCGAAAAUCACGUGUUUUCUCUCCGAGAAUCCAACACUUAAGCGAAAAUCACGCGUUUUCACUUCGAGAAUCCAACAUUUAAGUGAAAAUCAUGUGUUUUCUCAAAUCCCACAUUUAAGCGAAAGUCACGCGUUUUCUCUUCGCAAAUCCCCCAUUUAACACAAAAAACCAUGAGUUUUCUCUUCAAAAAUCCCCCAUUUAAGCGAAAAUCACACAUUUUCCCUUCGCAAAACCCCCAUUUAAGUGGAAAUCUCGCGUUUUCUCUUUGCGAAUCGUCAAUUUAAGUGAAAAUCAAGCGUUUUCUCUUUGAGAAUCCCCCAUUUAUGCGAAAAUCACAAAUUUUCUCUUCUCAAAUACACCAUUUAAGCAAAAAUCACACGUUUUCUCUUUGCAAAUCCCCCAUUUAACUUGAAAAUCACGCGUUUUCUCUUCAGGAAUCUUCCAUUUAACCUGAAAAUCACGCGUUUUUUCUUCGCAAAUCCCCCAUUUAUGUGGAAAACACGUGUUUUCUCUUCGAAAAUUUCCCAUUUAACCCGAAAAUCACGCGUUUUCUCUUCACAAAUCCCCCAUUUAAGCGAAAAACACGCGUUUUCUCUUCACAAAUCCGCCAUUUAUGUGGAAAACACGUGUUUUCUCUUCGAAAAUUUCCCAUUUAACCCGAAAACCACGCGUUUUCUCUUCAGAAAUCCCCCAUUUAAGCGAAAAACACGCGUUUUUCUCUUCACAAAUCCCCCAUUUAAGCAAAAAUCACGCGUUUUUCUCUUCAGGAAUCUUCCAUUUAACCCGAAAAACACGCAUUUUCUCUUCACAAAUCCGCCGUUUAAGCAAAAAACACGCAUUUUCUCUUCAGGAAUCUUCCAUUUAACCCGAAAAUCACGCGUUUUCUUUUCAGAAAUCCCCCAUUUAAGCGAAAAUCACGCGUUUUCUCUCCGAGAAUCCAACAUUUAAGCGAAAAUCACGCGUUUUCUCAAAUCCCACAUUUAAGCGAAAGUCACGCGUUUUCUCUUCGCAAAUCCCUCAAUUAACACAAAAAACCACGAGUUUUCUCUUCACAAAUCCGCCAUUUAAGCAAAAAUCACGCGUUUUCUCUUCAGGAAUCUUCCAUUUAACCCGAAAAUCACGUGUUUUCUCUUUGCAAAUCCCCCAUUUAACUUGAAAAUCAUGCAUUUUCAAUUUGCAAAUCCCCCAUUUAUGCGAAAGUCACGCGUUUUCUCUUCAGAAAUCCCCCAUUUAUGUGGAAAACACGUGUUUUCUCUUCGAAAAUCCCCCAUUUAACCCGAUAAUCGCACAUUUUCAAUUUGCAAGUCCCCCAUUUAAGCGAAAAACACGCGUUUUCUCUUCGCAAAUCCCCCAUUUAACCAGAAAAUCACGCGUUUUCUUUUCGGAAAUCCCCCAUUUAAGCGAAAAUCACGUGUUUUCUCUCCGAGAAUCCAACACUUAAGCGAAAAUCACGCGUUUUCUCAAAUCCCACAUUUAAGCGAAAGUCACGCGUUUUCUCUUCGCAAAUCCCCCAUUUAACCAGAAAACCAAGCAUUUUCUCUUCGCAAAUCCCCCAUUUUACCAGAAAAACACGCGUUUUCUCUUCGAAAAUCCCCCAUUUAACCCGAAAAUCACGCGUUUUCCCUUCGCAAAUCCCCCAAUUAACACAAAAACCACGAGUUUUCUCUUCAGAAAUCCCCCAUUUAAGCGAAAAUCACACGUUUUCCCUUCGCAAAACCCCCAUUUAAGUGAAAAUCUCACGUUUUCUCUUUGAGAAUCGUCAAUUUAAGUGAAAAUCAAGCGUUUUCUCUUUGCGAAUCCCCCAUUUAAGUGAAGAUCACGAAUUUUCUCUUCUCAAAUACCCCAUUUAAGCGAAAAUCACGCGUUUUCUCUUCGCGAAUCCCCCAUUUAACUUGAAAAUCACGUGUUUUCUCUUCGGAAAUCCCCCAUUUAUGCGAAAAUCACGCGUUUUCACUUCGAGAAUCCAACAUUUAACGAAAAUCACGCGUUUUCUCAAAUCCCACAUUUAAGCGAAAGUCACGCGUUUUCUCUUCGCAAAUCCCCCAUUUAACCAGAAAACCAAGCAUUUUCUCUUCGCAAAUCCCCCAUUUUACCAGAAAAACACGCGUUUUUACUUCGAAAAUCCCCCAUUUAACCCGAAAAUCACGCGUUUUCCCUUCGCAAAUCCCCCAAUUAACACAAAAAACCACGAGUUUUCUCUUCAAAAUCCCCCAUUUAAGCGAAAAUCACACGUUUUCCCUUCGCAAAACCCCCAUUUAAGUGAAAAUCUCACGUUUUCUCUUUGAGAAUCGUCAUUUUAAGUGAAAAUCAAGCGUUUUCUCUUUGAGAAUCCCCCAUUUAUGCGAAAAUCACAAAUUUUCUCUUCUCAAAUACACCAUUUAAGCAAAAAUCACACGUUUUCUCUUUGCAAAUCCCCCAUUUAACUUGAAAAUCACGCGUUUUCUCUUCAGGAAUCUUCCAUUUAACCUGAAAAUCACGCGUUUUUUUCUUCGCAAAUCCCCCAUUUAUGUGGAAAACACGUGUUUUCUCUUCGAAAAUUUCCCAUUUAACCCGAAAAUCACGCGUUUUCUCUUCACAAAUCCCCCAUUUAAGCGAAAAACACGCGUUUUCUCUUCACAAAUCCGCCAUUUAUGUGGAAAACACGUGUUUUCUCUUCGAAAAUUUCCCGUUUAACCCGAAAAUCACGCGUUUUCUCUUCAGAAAUCCCCCAUUUAAGCGAAAAACACGCGUUUUCUCUUCGCAAAUCCCCCAUUUAUGUGGAAAACACGUGUUUUCUCUUUGAAAAUUUCCCAAUUAACCCGAAAAUCACGCGUUUUCUCUUCAGAAAUCCCCCAUUUAAGCGAAAAACACGCGUUUUCUCUUCACAAAUCCCCCAUUUAAGCAAAAAUCACGCGUUUUCUCUUCAGGAAUCUUCCAUUUAACCAGAAAACCACGCGUUUUCUCUUCGCAAAUCCCCCAUUUAAGCAAAAAACACGCAUUUUCUCUUCACAAAUCCGCCGUUUAAGCAAAAAACACGCAUUUUCUCUUCAGGAAUCUUCCAUUUAACCCGAAAAUCACGCGUUUUCUUUUCUGAAAUCCCCCAUUUAAGCGAAAAUCACGCGUUUUCUCUCCGAGAAUCCAACAUUUAAGCGAAAAUCACGCGUUUUCUCAAAUCCCACAUUUAAGCGAAAGUCACGCGUUUUCUCUUCGCAAAUCCCUCAAUUAACACAAAAAACCACGAGUUUUCUCUUCGCAAAUCCGCCAAUUAAGCACAAAAAUCACGCGUUUUU